AUGGCGGGGCACUUGCUGGUGGCGGUGACGGGGAGGAGGAGAAGAUGGUGGGAGGCGCCAUUGUUUGCGGCGGAGCAGCGCGCGACGCUGGUUAACGUGAAGCUGAAGUUGGUCAAGGAUCCGGCGCUCGACGGGGCGUUGUCGCGGCAGCGCCACCUCCGCGCUGCCCACCACCUGCUCGACCUCGCGUCCUCGCGGCCCGGCCACCGCAUCUCGUGCCCCGAGCUCCUCGCCGACAAGUCCGUCCACAGGAUGUUUGGCUCCGCGGCCGCUGCGCUCGCCUUCCUCCGCAGAUACCACACCCUGUUCGCGCUCUCCCGCCGCGGUGGAGGCGGCGUGUCCCUCACGGACGCAGCGCUCGGCCUCCGGUGCCGGGAACUGGACUGCCUGGACGCCUCGGGGCCCGACCUGCUCGCUCGCCUUCGCCGCCUCCUCAUGCUCACCCUGCCGCGGUCGCUCCCGCUCCACACUGUCGACCUUCUCCGCUGGGACUUGGGCCUGCCCCGCGACUACCGCGCAUCAAUCCUCGGUCGCCACCCUGACCACUUCGCCCUUAGGCAGCCCGAGGGUGACGAGCGCAUCUGGCUCCACCUCCUCUCCUGGGAUGACCGUCUGGCUGUCUCGGAACUCGAGAAGGCUGCGGCGGGCGGCGACACCACCUGCCUCCCAUUUCCGGUGAGCUUCACGAGGGGGUUUGGCCUGAGGAGCAAGUCUAUGGACUGGCUGAAGGAGUGGCAGACGCUUCCAUACACUAACCCGUACGCCGACGCCUCCGGCCUUGACCGUCGCACUGAUGUGUCAGAGAAGCGGAAUGUCGGAGUGUUCCAUGAGCUGCUGCACCUCACAUUGGCAAGGAGGACAGAGCGCCACAACGUGAGCAACAUGAGGAUGCUUCUUGGCAUGCCACAGAAGUUUACCAAGGUAUUUGAGCGUCACCCGGGCAUUUUUUACCUUUCAAGGAUACAUGGCACACAGACAGUUGUACUCAGAGAAGCUUACGGUGGCACGAGCCAGCUGCUUGAGAAGCAUGCACAUCCACUUGUUGCUAUCAGGGAGGAGUAUGCCACCAUGAUGAGGGCUGCAUUGCCACCAAGGAAAAGCAGAGAAAGCUGCAACUAUUGUGGUGAACUGGACGAGGAAAGUGAGGGAGAAGAAGGAACUGAACUCUCUUAA
rnacentral:rRNA from 1 species